GUUUUCCGCUAGAUUUAGCGGGGAAAUUUUUUCCGCUAGAUUUAGUGGGGAAAUUUUUUCCGCUAGAUUUAGCGGGGAAA
rnacentral:pre_miRNA from 1 species